rnacentral:rRNA from 1 species
AGCGGCGGAUGGGUGAGUAACACGUGGGGAACCUGCCCCUAAGUCUGGGAUACCAUUCGGAAACAGGUGCUAAUACCGGAUAAUAAAGCAGAUCGCAUGAUCAGCUUUCGAAAGGCGGCGUAAGCUGUCGCUAAGGGAUGGCCCCGCGGUGCAUUAGCUAGUUGGUAAGGUAACGGCUUACCAAGGCGACGAUGCAUAGCCGAGUUGAGAGACUGAUCGGCCACAUUGGGACUGAGACACGGCCCAAACUCCUACGGGAGGCAGCAGUAGGGAAUCUUCCACAAUGGACGCAAGUCUGAUGGAGCAACGCCGCGUGAGUGAAGAAGGUUUUCGGAUCGUAAAGCUCUGUUGUUGGUGAAGAAGGAUAGAGGUAGUAACUGGCCUUUAUUUGACGGUAAUCAACCAGAAAGUCACGGCUAACUACGUGCCAGCAGCCGCGGUAAUACGUAGGUGGCAAGCGUUGUCCGGAUUUAUUGGGCGUAAAGCGAGCGCAGGCGGAAAAAUAAGUCUAAUGUGAAAGCCCUCGGCUUAACCGAGGAGCUGCAUCGGAAACUGUUUUUCUUGAGUGCAGAAGAGGAGAGUGGAACUCCAUGUGUAGCGGUGGAAUGCGUAGAUAUAUGGAAGAACACCAGUGGCGAAGGCGGCUCUCUGGUCUGCAACUGACGCUGAGGCUCGAAAGCAUGGGUAGCGAACAGGAUUAGAUACCCUGGUAGUCCAUGCCGUAAACGAUGAGUGCUAAGUGU